UGGCGGCGUGCUUACCAUGCAAGUCGUGCGAGAAAGGGGACUUCGGUCCCUGAGUAGAGCGGCGCACGGGUGAGUAACGCGUGGGUGAUCUACCCGGAAGUCUGGGAUAACGGUGGGAAACUGCCGCUAAUACCGGCUAAUCUUCCAAUUCGAAUUGGAGGGAAAGACGGCCUCUGCUUGCAAGCUGUCGCUUUCGGAUGAGCCCGCGUCCCAUUAGCUCGUUGGCGGGGUAACGGCCCACCAAGGCAACGAUGGGUAGCUGGUCUGAGAGGAUGAUCAGCCACACUGGGACUGAAACACGGCCCAGACUCCUACGGGAG
rnacentral:rRNA from 1 species